UACGUAGGCAGCAAGCGUUGUUCGGAGUUACUGGGCGUAAAGAGUGCGUAGGUGGUGCCCUAAGUCUGUUGUGAAAUCUCCCGGCUUAACUGGGAGGGUGCGGUGGAAACUGGGGUGCUUGAGUGUGGGAGAGGUAAGUGGAACUGCGAGUGUAGAGGUGAAAUUCGUAGAUAUUCGCAAGAACACCAGUGGCGAAGGCGGCUCACUGGCCCGGUACUGACGCUGAGGUGCGAAAGCGUGGGGAGCAAACAGG
rnacentral:rRNA from 1 species